UCUGUCUCUGCUCCCCCUCCCCAGCGCACUACAAUGAGACCGGGGCUGGAAUAUGAUGUCAUAUUCCGGCCCCAGUCUCACUGUAGUGCGCUGGGGAGGGGGAGCAGAGACAGAACAGC